rnacentral:misc_RNA from 1 species
GAAAUGCGAUAAUUAGUGUGAAUUGCAGAAUUCAGUGAAUCAUCGAGUCUUUGAACGCACAUUGCGCCCCCUGGUAUUCCGGGGGGCAUGCCUGUCCGAGCGUCAUUGCUGCCCUCAAGCACGGCUUGUGUGUUGGGCUUCCGUCCCUGGCAACGGGGACGGGCCCAAAAGGCAGUGGCGGCACCAUGUCUGGUCCUCGAGCGUAUGGGGCUUUGUCACCCGCUCCCGUAGGUCCAGCUGGCAGCUAGCCUCGCAACCAAUCUUUUUAACCAGGUUGACCUCGGAUCAGGUAGGGAUACCCGCUGAACUUAAGC